rnacentral:rRNA from 1 species
UGGGGAAUUUUGGACAAUGGGGGAAACCCUGAUCCAGCCAUCCCGCGUGUGCGAUGAAGGCCUUCGGGUUGUAAAGCACUUUUGGCAGGAAAGAAACGUCAUGGGUUAAUACCCCGUGAAACUGACGGUACCUGCAGAAUAAGCACCGGCUAACUACGUGCCAGCAGCCGCGGUAAUACGUAGGGUGCAAGCGUUAAUCGGAAUUACUGGGCGUAAAGCGUGCGCAGGCGGUUCGGAAAGAAAGAUGUGAAAUCCCAGAGCUCAACUUUGGAACAGCAUUUUUAACUACCGGGCUAGAGUGUGUCAGAGGGAGGUGGAAUUCCGCGUGUAGCAGUGAAAUGCGUAGAUAUGCGGAGGAACACCGAUGGCGAAGGCAGCCUCCUGGGAUAACACUGACGCUCAUGCACGAAAGCGUGGGGAGCAAACAGG